rnacentral:rRNA from 1 species
CACGUAAGGGGCAAGCGUUGUUCGGAAUUAUUGGGCGUAAAGGGUGCGCAGGCGGAAACAUAAGCCUGAGUUAAAGGGGGGGAGAGUAACUGUGGGUAUGCAUUGGGAACUGUGUAACUAGAGUAUAAGAGGGGGAGUUGGAAUUCCAGGUGUAGGGGUGAAAUCUGUAGAUAUCUGGAAGAACACCGGUGGCGAAGGCGAACUCCUGGCUAUAUACUGACGCUGAGGCA